rnacentral:rRNA from 1 species
UACGGAGGGUGCAAGCGUUAAUCGGAAUUACUGGGCGUAAAGCGCACGCAGGUGGCUGAGAAAGUCGAUUGUGAAAGCCCUGGGCUUAACCUGGGAAUUGCAGUCGAAACUACUCAGCUAGAGUAUGGGAGAGGGCAGUGGAAUUCCCGGUGUAGCGGUGAAAUGCGUAGAUAUCGGGAGGAACAUCAGUGGCGAAGGCGGCUGCCUGGCCCAAUACUGACAAUCAGGUGCGACAGCGUGGGGAGCAAACAGG